AUUGAACGCUGGCGGCAGGCCUAACACAUGCAAGUCGAGCGAGCGGCGGACGGGUGAGUAAUGUCUGGGAAACUGCCUGAUGGAGGGGGAUAACUACUGGAAACGGUAGAUAAUACCGCAUACCAUCAGAUGUGCCCAGGUGGGAUUAGCUCGUAGGUGGGGUAACGGCUCACCUCGGCGACGAUCCCUAGCUGGUCUGAGAGGAUGACCAGCCAAACUGGAACGGAGACACGGUCCAGACUCCUACGGGAGGCAGCAGUGGGGAAUAUUGCACAAUGGGCGCAAGCCUGAUGCAGCCAUGCCGCGUGUGUGAAGAGGGCCUUCGGGUUGUAAAGCACUUUCAGCGGGGAGGCGUUACCCGCAGAAGAAGCACCGGCUAACUCCGUGCCAGCCGCCGCGGUAUUC
rnacentral:rRNA from 1 species